rnacentral:rRNA from 1 species
UACGUAGGGUGCGAGCGUUGUCCGGAAUUAUUGGGCGUAAAGGGCUCGUAGGCGGUUUGUCGCGUCGGGAGUGAAAUCCACUGGCUUAACUGGUGGCUUGCUUUCGAUACGGGCAGACUGGAGGUAUGCAGGGGAGAACGGAAUUCCUGGUGUAGCGGUGAAAUGCGCAGAUAUCAGGAGGAACACCGGUGGCGAAGGCGGUUCC